GUGGGGAAUCUUCCGCAAUGGACGAAAGUCUGACGGAGCAACGCCGCGUGAGUGAUGAAGGUCUUCGGAUUGUAAAGCUCUGUUAAUCGGGACGAAAGAGCCUAGUGUGAAUAAUGCUAGGAAGUGACGGUACCGGAAUAGAAAGCCACGGCUAACUACGUGCCAGCAGCCGCGGUAAUACGUAGGUGGCAAGCGGUGUCCGGAAUUAUUGGGCGUAAAGCGCGAGCGGGCGGAUCUGCCAGUCUGUCUUAAAAGUUCGGGGCUUAACCCCGUGAUGGGAUGGAAACUACAGAUCUAGAGUAUCGGAGAGGAAAGUGGAAUUCCUAGUGUAGCGGUGAAAUGCGUAGAUAUUAGGAAGAACACCAGUGGCGAAGGCGACUUUCUGGACGAAAACUGACGCUGAGGCGCGAAAGCCAGGGGAGCGAACGGGAUUAGAAACCCGAGUAGUCC
rnacentral:rRNA from 1 species